GCGAAGGUGGCGGAAUUGGUAGACGCGCUAGCUUCAGGUGUUAGUGUUCUUACGGACGUGGGGGUUCAACGUCCCCCCCUCGCACCA
rnacentral:tRNA from 1 species